CGCGGGGAAGCCGAGCGGUGAGGCGCCGGAUUCAUAAUCCGGAGUUUGCGGGUUCGAAUCCCGCCCCCGCAACCA
rnacentral:tRNA from 1 species